rnacentral:rRNA from 1 species
AUACGUAGGGUCCGAGCGUUGUCCGGAAUUACUGGGCGUAAAGAGCUCGUAGGUGGUGUGUCGCGUCGUCCGUGAAAACUCACAGCUUAACUGUGGGCGUGCGGGCGAUACGGGCAGACUUGAGUACUGCAGGGGAGACUGGAAUUCCUGGUGUAGCGGUGGAAUGCGCAGAUAUCAGGAGGAACACCGGUGGCGAAGGCGGGUCUCUGGGCAGUAACUGACGCUGAGGAGCGAAAGCGUGGGGAGC